AAUUUUAAUUUGGAUUUUCUCUCCUUUUCCUCGCAUUUCUCCUUUCUCCUCAUAAACCUUUCUCCUCUCUCCUUCUCUUUUCGACAAAAGACCAGCCGGCAGCUUUCUCCUUUCUCCUCACACCGUUCACUUUUCGUCUGGCACCGAUCGUCGGUGAGUGUCCCCCACCUAGAGAAAAACGUCGGACGUUGUCGUUGUUGAACAGGUUGCCGAACGUGUCCCCGACCAUCGCCCUCGAUUUCCUUCUUGCAAUAAUAGCUUCCUUGCUUGCCGAAAAGACCCCUCGUUGCUAUAAGUUGACCCAACCAUUAGUAAUUUGACUGAAUGUUAAGAAUUUCUAUGGAUAUAACUAAUGUUACACUUAAAAUUAUGUUAUAAUAUAUACUAUAAUAUAUUGAAUAUUAAUUAUAUAUAUUAGGGAUUUAAAGUGUUACAUAGACACUUUUUAACUUGUUUUUUGAGUUAUAUUGAUAAUUUUACAGUUUUAAGGUUGACAUUGAUGUUAUGUGCAAAA